rnacentral:rRNA from 1 species
UACGGAGGGUGCAAGCGUUAUCCGGAUUCACUGGGUUUAAAGGGUGCGUAGGCGGGCAGGUAAGUCAGUGGUGAAAUCUCCGAGCUUAACUCGGAAACUGCCAUUGAUACUAUUUGUCUUGAAUAUUGUGGAGGUAAGCGGAAUAUGUCAUGUAGCGGUGAAAUGCUUAGAUAUGACAUAGAACACCAAUUGCGAAGGCAGCUUACUACACAAAUAUUGACUCUGAGGCACGAAAGCGUGGGGAUCAAACAGG